UACGUAGGUGGCAAGCGUUGUCCGGAUUUAUUGGGUUUAAAGGGUGCGUAGGCGGCCCCGUAAGUCAGUGGUGAAAUGCUCCGGCUCAACCGGAGAGGUGCCAUUGAUACUGCGGGGCUUGAGUACAGUCGAGGUAGGCGGAAUUGACGGUGUAGCGGUGAAAUGCUUAGAUAUCGUCAAGAACACCGAUAGCGAAGGCAGCUUACUAGGCUGUAACUGACGCUGAGGCACGAAGGUGCGGGGAUCAAACAGG
rnacentral:rRNA from 1 species